AUGAGACAGUAUUGGUGGGGAGUGGAGAACGGUAAAAGGAAGAUGGCUUGGCUCAGUUGGGAGAAGAUGAUUCUACCCAAAGAUAUGGGAGGGAUGGGGUUUAGAGAUAUGCAGGCGUUCAACCAGGCGUUGCUAGCUAAGCAGGCUUGGAGGCUACUAGACUGCCCUGACAGCAUGUGCGCUCGACUGCUUCGGUCCAAAUAUUACCCGAAUGGUAAUCUACUGGACACAGUUUUCCCCUCUAGCUCGUCUACAGUCUGGAAAGGAAUCACAUAUGACCUUGAAUUGUUGAAGGAAGGACUGAUAUGGAGGGUGGGGAACGGUAUGAUGAUUAAAACAUGGAGAGAUGCCUGGAUUCCC
rnacentral:rRNA from 1 species